AGCUCAGGAGGGAUAGCGCCA
rnacentral:siRNA from 1 species